GAAAUGCGAUAAGUAUUGUGAAUUGCAGAUUUGUGAAUCAUCGAAUUUUUGAACGCACAUUGCGCCCUCUGGUAUUCCGGGGGGCAUGCCUGUUCGAGCGUCAUUGCUUUCUCAAACCUUUUAGUUUGGUGUUGAAUUUAUUAUGUAGCAAUACAUAUGAUUCGAAAAGCAUUGGCAAGGCUAUUUGAGCUUUUCUUACAACGUAUUAGGUUUUACCAACUCGUUGGCUACAGUAAGUUUGAAAAUAAAGCCUGGCUUUAGAACUCUCUAAAGUUUGACCUCGGAUCAGGUAGGAUUACCCGCUGAACUUAA
rnacentral:misc_RNA from 1 species